rnacentral:tRNA from 1 species
UGGGCUCGUAGCUCAGCAGCAGAGCAUUCGCCUUGCACGCGAGAGGCCGGGGGUGCGAGUCCCCCCGAGUCCAU